rnacentral:rRNA from 1 species
UCAAGUUAUUAAGGGUGCAGGGCGGAUGCCUUGGCACUAGGAGCCGAUGAAGGACGUGAUAAGCUGCGAUAAGCUUCGGGGAGUUGCACGUAAACUUUGAUCCGAAGAUUUCCGAAUGAGGAAACUCACUUAGAGUAAUGUCUAAGUAUCAUUAAGUGAAUACAUAGCUUAAUGAGGGGAACUCAGGGAACUGAAACAUCUAAGUACCUGAAGGAAGAGAAAGAAAUUCGAUUCCGUAAGUAGCGGCGAGCGAACGCGGAUUAGCCCAAACCAAUAAAGUUUUCUUUAUUGGGGUUGCGGACAUAUCAUAACGAAGAGGUAUCGUAAUUGAAGAGGUUUGGAAAGACCCACCACAGAAGGUAAUAGUCCUGUAUGUUAAACGAGAAGACUUUAGAUAUGAUCCAGAGUACCACGGGACACGUGAAACCCUGUGGGAAUCAGGAGGGACCACCCUCCAAGGCUAAAUACUACCUAGUGACCGAUAGCGUAUAGUACCGUGAGGGAAAGGUGAAAAGAACCCCGGGAGGGGAGUGAAAUAGAACCUGAAACCCUGCACUUACAAGCUGUGGAAGCACAUUUCUUGUGUGACCGCGUACUUUUUGUAGAACGGGCCAACGAGUUACGUUAAGUAGCAAGGUUAAGCACUUAAGGUGCGGAGCCGUAGCGAAAGCGAGUUUUAACUGAGCGUUCAGUUACUUGACGUAGACCCGAAACCGGGCGACCUACCCAUGAGCAGGAUGAAGCGAAAGUAAAAUUUCGUGGAGGUCCGAACCCACGAGCGUUGAAAAGCUCGGGGAUGACUUGUGGGUAGCGGUGAAAUUCCAAUCGAGCCCGGAGAUAGCUGGUUCUCCCCGAAAUAGCUUUAGGGCUAGCCUCAAGGUGAGAGAUACGGAGGUAGAGCACUGAAUGUCCUAGGGGGUAUUGCACCUACCGAAGACUAUCAAACUCCGAAUGCCGUCAUCUUAUACUUGGGAGUCAGACUGUGGGUGAUAAGAUUCAUAGUCGAAAGGGCAACAGCCCAGAUCGUCAGCUAAGGUCCCUAAAUGUAAGUUAAGUGGUAAAGGAUGUGGGAUUGCACAGACAACCAGGAUGUUGGCUUAGAAGCAGCCACUCAUUCAAAGAGUGCGUAAUAGCUCACUGGUCGAGUGAUCCUGCGCCGAAGAUUUCCGGGGCUAAAACUUACUACCGAAGCUACGGCAUCAGUAAUGAUGGGUAGGGGAGCUUCCCAUACGGGUUGAAGCAUGACCGUAAGGACAUGUGGACAGUAUGGGAGUGAGAAUGUUGGCAUGAGUAGCGAGAUGUGGGUGAGAAUCCCACAGGCCGUAAACCCAAGGUUUCCAGGGGAAGGUUCGUCCGCCCUGGGUUAGUCGGGACCUAAGCUGAGGCCGAAAGGCGUAGGUGAUGGACAACAGGUUGAUAUUCCUGUACUACCGAUAACCGUUUGAGAGAAGGGAUGACACAGUAGGAUAAGCUAAGCACACUGUUGGUUAUGUGUGCCCAAGCAUUGAGGCAGUCAAAGUAGGCAAAUCCGCUUUGAUAAUGCUGGGAUGUGAUGGGGAGCGAAAUUUAGUAGCGAAGUAGCUGAUUUCACACUGUCAAGAAAAGUCUCUAUCGAGGUUAAAGGUACCCGUACCGCAAACCGACACAGGUGGGUGAGGAGAGUAUCCUAAGGCCAGCGAGAGAACUGUUGUUAAGGAACUCGGCAAAAUGACCCCGUAACUUAGGGAUAAGGGGUGCCACCAUCAGGUGGCCGCAGAGAAUAGGCCCAAGCGACUGUUUACCAAAAACAUAGGUUUCUGCUAAGUCGCAAGACGAUGUAUAGGAGCUGACGCCUGCCCGGUGCUGGAAGGUUAAGGGGAUCUGUUAGAGCAAUCGAAGCAGUGAACUUAAGCCCCAGUAAACGGCGGCCGUAACUAUAACGGUCCUAAGGUAGCGAAAUUCCUUGUCGGGUAAGUUCCGACCCGCACGAAAGGCGUAACGAUUUGGGCACUGUCUCAACAACAGACUCGGUGAAAUUGUAAUUCCGGUGAAGAUGCCGGAUACCUGCGACAGGACGGAAAGACCCCAUGGAGCUUUACUGUAGCUUGACAUUGGGUCUUGGUACUACAUGUACAGGAUAGGUGGGAGGCUUUGAAACCAGGACGCCAGUUUUGGCGGAGCCAUCCUUGGGAUACCACCCUUGUAGUACUGGGACUCUAACCAUAGGCCAUGAAUCUGGUCUUGGGACACUGUCAGGUGGGCAGUUUGACUGGGGCGGUCGCCUCCCAAAAGGUAACGGAGGCGCUCAAAGGUUCUCUCAGUACGGUCGGAAAUCGUACGUAGAGUGUAAAGGCAAAAGAGAGCUUGAUUGCAAGACAUACAGGUCGAGCAAGGAUGAAAAUCGGACUUAGUGAUCCGGUGGUUCUGCGUGGAAGGGCCAUCGCUCAACGGAUAAAAGCUACCCUGGGGAUAACAGGCUUAUCUCCCCCAAGAGUCCACAUCGACGGGGAGGUUUGGCACCUCGAUGUCGGCUCAUCACAUCCUGGGGCUGUAGUAGGUCCCAAGGGUUGGGCUGUUCGCCCAUUAAAGUGGUACGCGAGCUGGGUUCAGAACGUCGUGAGACAGUUCGGUCCCUAUCCAUCGCAGGCGUAGGAAAUUUGAGAAGACCUGUCCUUAGUACGAGAGGACCGGGAUGGACGUACCUCUGGUGUACCAGUUGUCCUGCCAAGGGCAUGGCUGGGUAGCUAUGUACGGAAUGGAUAAGCGCUGAAAGCAUCUAAGCGCGAAGCCAACUUCAAGAUAAGAUUUCCCACCGCAAGGGUAAGACCCCAGAAAGACUAUCUGGUUGAUAGGUCGAAGGUGUAAGUGCAGCAAUGUAUUUAGCUUAUCGAUACUAAUAGGUCGAGGACUUGACCAA